UACAGAGGCCCCAAGCGCUACUGAGAAUCACUGGGUUUAAAGGGUGCGUAGGUGGCUCGUUAAGUCCGUUGUGAAAUCCCUUGGCUCAACCAAGGAACUGCUUCGGAUACUGGCGUGCUUGAGGCUAGUAGAGGUCACUGGAACUGACGGUGGAGCGGUGAAAUGCGUAGAUAUCGCGUGGAACGCCAAAGGUGAAAACAGGUUGCUGGGGAUGUGCUGACACUGAGACGCGAAAGCCAGGGGAGCGAACGGG
rnacentral:rRNA from 1 species